rnacentral:lncRNA from 1 species
GCAUACUCCACAAUCUAUACUACAUACUUGAUAUUUGAAGGUAAAGGAGAUGUUCAACUUAGGCUCAACCUCCAAUGUGGAGUGGGUGAGGAAAUAAAUGGCUCAACAAAGACUGAUGAGAAUUUGGCUCAAAGUGACUUCUAUUCAAUGAGACAUUGGUCGGCCUGAAAGGCUUAAACUACAUCGUAAAUUGACCUUCAUCAUUCCCUGAGUAUAAUCAAACCAACAUACCACAAACCGUGAAAUGGCAUUCCCAUUAGUCAACCAAAUUUGGGGAAUAAUGAGAUCAUAUAACGAGACAAUACUGAAGGUAAUAUUAAGAAUAUGAUAACAUCUCUCAAAAAAAUGAGAAUGUCCCAAUUGCUCACAAGUGUAAAAGGUUGCAACUUUAAUUUGAGUGUUCUCUAAUUGAAAGAGUUCCUCAUCCAUCAAACCACAUGAGCUUAGUUUACAUGUAUGAAAAGAAAAAAUUUCUGAGGUGUUUCAAUAUCUUACUCAUAUAGCACUAUUGAUUCAAGCAAAAAUACAUUGU